CUGCAGCCAAUUAAGCAGACCGUGCUCCUUUCCUCAUGGGGGCCCAGUGUGCAAUAGCUGCAAACAGCAGCCUCCUUGGCAGUGUAUGCAGCCUGUUGCUUGUAUGGGUUGCUCUAAGGGACCUUGGAGACAGUC
rnacentral:snoRNA from 1 species